CUGCAUGGCUGUCGUCAGCUCGUGUCGUGAGAUGUUGGGUUAAGUCCCGCAACGAGCGCAACCCUUGCCUUAGUUUGCCAGCAGUUCGGCUGGGCACUCUAAAGGGACUGCCGGUGUUAAACCGGAGGAAGGUGGGGAUGACGUCAAGUCCUCAUGGCCUUUAUGACCAGGGCUACACACGUACUACAAUGGCCGAUACAAAGGGCAGCGACACUGCGAGGUGAAGCCAAUCCCGUAAAAUCGGUCUCAGUCCGGAUUGGAGUCUGCAACUCGACUCCAUGAAGUUGGAAUCGCUAGUAAUCGUGGAUCAGCAUGCCACGGUGAAUACGUUCCCGGGCCUU
rnacentral:rRNA from 1 species